GGGACUAUGGUGAAAUGGGAUCACAGCUCUCUGUGGAAGAGCGGUCGCGGGAUCGAAACCCGCUAGUCCCC
rnacentral:tRNA from 1 species